GUUACCGAAGAAACAGUUUAGGCUGUAAAUAGCUGUUUGGGAUAGGUAGUUUUGAUCUUAUGUGUCUGCUGUUUAAAAGCUGAGAAGGUGAAUAAUCCAGGUUUGCAACAGGUACACAAGAGAGGCCGAAAGGUGCCCUCAAAAAUCUUUUCAGGCAUAAAAAAGGUCAAAAUAUGAGGGUUAUAGCUGUAAUUGCUAUCGUAGUGAUGAUGUCAUUAACAUCUCAACAACAAACAGUUAAGCCUUCUAGGGAGGCGAUUAAAGCAGAUUUGAACACAAGAGUUGUUGGGCUGCUAAGAGAUUUGGGUAAUCGUUUCGAGAGAAUUUCAGAAGACGAGUUCAUGAGGAUUGGAAAGGAAAUAGAGAUAUCUCCUGAAUACACAGCCACAUGGCAAAAGUUUGAAAAAAAUAGUGGAACAUAAUAACAUUUAUAAUAUUUUUUUCCAAAUUAAUUGGCUAAAUUGUUGGAUUAUUCCACUUUGCCUUAAGCCAAAGUCAUAAUCCAAUUUGAAUAGUCAUAAUCUGUAUAUGAAAGAUGAUUAUGUUAAAUUAAACCUAUUCCUACCACAUGAA